rnacentral:rRNA from 1 species
GUGGGGAAUAUUGGACAAUGGGCGAAAGCCUGAUCCAGCAAUGCCGCGUGAGUGAUGAAGGCCUUAGGGUUGUAAAGCUCUUUUACCCGGGAUGAUAAUGACAGUACCGGGAGAAUAAGCUCCGGCUAACUCCGUGCCAGCAGCCGCGGUAAUACGGAGGGAGCUAGCGUUGUUCGGAAUUACUGGGCGUAAAGCGCACGUAGGCGGCUAUUCAAGUCAGGGGUGAAAUCCCGGGGCUCAACCUCGGAACUGCCUUUGAAACUGGAUGGCUAGAAUCCUGGAGAGGCGAGUGGAAUUCCGAGUGUAGAGGUGAAAUUCGUAGAUAUUCGGAAGAACACCAGUGGCGAAGGCGGCCUGCUGGACAUUAACUGACGCUGAGGCGCGAAAGCGUGGGGAGCAAACAGGAUUAGAAACCCCAGUAGUCC